rnacentral:rRNA from 1 species
CCUACGGGAGGCAGCAGUGGGGAAUAUUGCACAAUGGGGGAAACCCUGAUGCAGCGACGCCGCGUGAGCGAUGAAGUAUUUCGGUAUGUAAAGCUCUAUCAGCAGGGAAGAAAAUGACGGUACCUGAGUAAGAAGCCCCGGCUAACUACGUGCCAGCAGCCGCGGUAAUACGUAGGGGGCAAGCGUUAUCCGGAUUUACUGGGUGUAAAGGGAGCGUAGACGGCGAAGAAAGUCUGAAGUGAAAGCCCGCGGCUUAACCGCGGAACUGCUUUGGAAACUUUUUUGCUGGAGUACCGGAGAGGUAAGCGGAAUUCCUAGUGUAGCGGUGAAAUGCGUAGAUAUUAGGAGGAACACCAGUGGCGAAGGCGGCUUACUGGACGGUAACUGACGUUGAGGCUCGAAAGCGUGGGGAGCAAACAGGAUUAGAUACCCCAGUAGUC